rnacentral:rRNA from 1 species
AAGGACUGGGCAAGACCGGUGCCAGCCGCCGCGGUAAUACCGGCAGUCCAAGUGAUGGCCGAUAUUAUUGGGCCUAAAGCGUCCGUAGCUUGCUGUGUAAGUCCAUUGGGAAAUCGACCAGCUCAACUGGUCGGCGUCCGGUGGAAACUACACAGCUUGGGGCCGAGAGACUCAACGGGUACGUCCGGGGUAGGAGUGAAAUCCUGUAAUCCUGGACGGACCACCAAUGGGGAAACCACGUUGAGAGACCGGACCCGACAGUGAGGGACGAAAGCCAGGGUCUCGAACCGGAUUAGAUACCCGGGUAGUCCUGGCUGUAAACAAUGCUCGCUAGGUAUGUCACGCGCCAUGAGCACGUGAUGUGCCGUAGUGAAGACGAUAAGCGAGCCGCCUGGGAAGUACGUCCGCAAGGAUGAAACUUAAAGGAAUUGGCGGGGGAGCACCACAACCGGAGGAGCCUGCGGUUUAAUUGGACUCAACGCCGGACAUCUCACCGGUCCCGACAGUAGUAAUGACGGUCAGGUUGACGACUUUACUCGACGCUACUGAGAGGAGGUGCAUGGCCGCCGUCAGCUCGUACCGUGAGGCGUCCUGUUAAGUCAGGCAACGAGCGAGACCC